GACGAACGCUGGCGGCGUGCCUAAUACAUGCAAGUCGAGCGGAUGACGGAGGAGCUUGCUCCUCCUGAUUCAGCGGCGGACGGGUGAGUAACACGUGGGCAACCUGCCCUGUAGAUUGGGAUAACUCCGGGAAACCGGGGCUAAUACCGAAUAAUCCUUCGGACCUCAUGGUCCGAUGUUGAAAGACGGCUCCGGCUGUCACUACAGGAUGGGCCCGCGGCGCAUUAGCUAGUUGGUGAGGUAACGGCUCACCAAGGCGACGAUGCGUAGCCGACCUGAGAGGGUGAUCGGCCACACUGGGACUGAGACACGGCCCAGACUCCUACGGGAGGCAGCAGUAGGGAAUCUUCCACAAUGGACGAAAGUCUGAUGGAGCAACGCCGCGUGAGUGAAGAAGGUUCUCGGAUCGUAAAACUCUGUUGUGAGGGAAGAACAAGUACCGGAGUAACUGCCGGUACCUUGACGGUACCUCAUUAGAAAGCCACGGCUAACUACGUGCCAGCCGCCGCGGUAA
rnacentral:rRNA from 1 species